rnacentral:rRNA from 1 species
GACAGAGGGUGCAAACGUUGUUCGGAAUUACUGGGCGUAAAGGGCGCGUAGGCGGCUUGACAAGUCCCGGGUGAAAUCCCUCGGCUCAACCGAGGAACUGCCUUGGAAACUGUCUGGCUUGAGGCCGGGAGAGGGUAGUGGAAUUCCCAGUGUAGCGGUGAAAUGCGUAGAUACUGGGAGGAACACCGGUGGCGAAGGCGGCUACCUGGACCGGUUCUGACGCUGAGGCGCGAAAGCGUGGGUAGCAAACAGG